UACGGGGGGGGCAAGCGUUGUUCGGAAUUACUGGGCGUAAAGGGCUCGUAGGCGGCCAACUAAGUCAGACGUGAAAUCCCCAGGCUCAACUUGGGAACUGCGUCUGAUACUGGAUGGCUUGAAUUCGGGAGAGGGAUGCGGAAUUCCAGGUGUAGCGGUGAAAUGCGUAGAUAUCUGGAGGAACACCGGUGGCGAAGGCGGCAUCCUGGACCGAGACUGACGCUGAUGAGCGAAAGCGUGGGGAGCAAACAGG
rnacentral:rRNA from 1 species